UGUUAACAAUGUAAAAGAAGUUUUCUCCUCAAAGUCUAGAUCCAGCAAUUCUUCCUCGCUUCAUACCUAUUUUAAGUAAAAAAAAAUUCUCCUCCAUCUGAUAUUCUGGCAGAAAAUUAGGGGUUAUUCAGAGAAGAUUUAUUCUGCAAUCUUGGAAAUAUUUCUGCAUCGCAGGAUGAAAAUCUAUGUAAACAAAAAUCUAUUAAGAAGGAAUGGAAGAAGAACAUCCAGUGGUGGUAAUAAUCUCGGUCAAUUUUGUUUUUCGAUUUGAACCCUAACAAUUUCAUUUUGGGCGGGAUGAAAUCAAACGAAAAUUCUUUUGGGAGGGAUUCCUGCUUGGCGUUUUGGAACAACUAUAAGUUCAACCCUAAGCAAUUCAGAGAUGUGAGAGAUAUAUCUUUUUUGGGGGAUUAGUAGUUCAGAGAUCAAAAAACAUCCAAGGGUAUUGGGAUCCCAGCGACACCUUCGUUCUUUGGUCUUUUGCUGUUCGAGGAACUUCAGGAAAAAGGCUGUUGCACUUGCAAGUUACUGAUGGAUGACCACUACGACUUCAUGAUUGAGGAAAUCUUUGAUCCAAGUGCGAUGUUGUGACAUAGAGAUGAUGAUGUUGUGCUUGGGGAUGUUUCAAGAGGUGAGUUUACCAAGUGGCCCAAGACCUAUGCAACUACUGUAGCCUGUAGGAGAGCGAUCAAGUUAGAGUUGCAGUGACAGCAGAUUGAUCACUUUUUAAAUUUUCAAGAUGUAACUUGGAGUUGGAGUUGUUAGGAUAUGUCUUCCAUUUAUGUUCGAAUAUUCUAUUUUCUUUAGAAAAUAGUUAUAAAGUUAAUUAAUAAAGUCAAUUUGUUUAA